rnacentral:rRNA from 1 species
GCAAGUCGAACGGUAACAGGCAGAGCUUGCUCUGCGCUGACGAGUGGCGGACGGGUGAGUAACGCGUAGGAAUUUACCUAGUAGUGGGGGACAACCCGAGGAAACUCGGGCUAAUACCGCAUACGCCCUAAGGGGGAAAGCAGGGGAUCUUCGGACCUUGCGCUAUUAGAUGAGCCUGCGUCGGAUUAGCUUGUUGGUGGGGUAAAGGCCUACCAAGGCGACGAUCCGUAGCUGGUCUGAGAGGACGAUC